GCACUGCUGAAGAGUCUCACAAUAGAAUGAAACGGCCGUCCGGUGU
rfam:Schistosoma mansoni strain Puerto Rico chromosome 3, complete genome